GAGAAAUCAAGGCCAAGAAAGCAUGGAGCACCUUUCGCCUUGAGUAAUAAGAGAGGCACAUGGGAGUUGAAUCAAGCCUCUCCAGCUGCUAAGCCUGUGCUCUUCCAGGCGCCCCACGGUAGCUGCCAAGUGCUCAGAAAUGCUAUCAUCCAACGGCCUUCAGUCUCCUCGUCCCUGCUAUGUGUGCUUCAUCGGGACAGUGGUGGUCAUGCAUUGCUCUCUCCUCAGUGUUCAGGCAGGGGAAGAGCCCAGGGCACCAUCUCCCCUCUCUCCCUCCGGAGGCAGCAGCUAUCAGAAUCUCCAAGAGGCCUGACCUGUGCGAGGAGCCAGACCCACCCCAAACUCCGACAUCUCCCAUAUUCUCCCUGCAUUCCUGCGCAUGUCCAUCAUGGAUCAGAUCACGCCCACCAUGCGCUUUAGCAGUGAGAAGUCAGCUACCCACACGGGGACUUUCAAAGAAAGGACUGUAGAUGGAUGUGUGCUGCAGGCCUGACCUUCCCAACAACCCUGUAAGAGAAGACCAGUCACUUCCACGUCAGAGGUGAGGACAGUCCUUCCGGUGCCUGCUGCAGGUGUAGAGAGCCAGCACUCCAGUCCGACACUCUGACUCCAAACAGCGUUCUUUCUACACUGCAGGACACAAUGUUUGAGGCAGAAAAGGCAGAUUUUGCUAAUCAGCUUGGAAGGAAAGCAGCUGUUGCCCACACUGCUGAGAAGGGGAGUCCACGGUGUCCUCCCGGAAGGACAGAGCCAUCUGGCCGGUGGCGCUGGGACGGCAGAGCCUGCCUCCUGACCCUCCUCGCCUGCCAGUCUGAGCGAGCACCAGGCCUUCCGCUGCGUUGGGCGCAUUCCACUCUGCAAGCCAAGUGAACGAACGCGUUUGGGGCAGAGGGGUCAGGUUGCUCAGAGGAGAGGAAGAAGCAGGCCGCAGCCACACACCCAUGCCUCCUCUGGCUUUGCAUCUGGUUUUUGCCUCGAUUCCUCCACCGUUCCCACAGACGGGAAAGCAGAGGCGCUGCUCACUGGUUCUCACAGACCGGUCACUGUCACCUGCAAUCGCGCUUCUCAGGUAGUCCUGGAAAUCUGCUGCUUUGGUCAGUGAUCCCGUCCUCUGGAAAGCAUUCUCAGGCUGCCCCAGGCAGGGCUUGGGGCCAUCUUCUCCCCCUGGACUCGCCAGGCCUCCACCCCUCACAGCAUUCACCGUGCUGUCCUGCACUUACCUGCCUGGUCCUGGGGAUAACAGGGACCACGCGUCACUCACCUUCACACCUCCAGGUACCACGAAGGACCUGGAGAGCGAGGACUCACCAAACCCUAAUGGAGCCACACUGGGCAGCACUGUGAGGUGUGUAGGAUAAAGUAUUCUAAUUGAGUCAGUGAAUUCACUGGCCAAACGCAAGGCCGUUCUUGGUCCAGCCUUGGCGCACGUCCACCAGAGGAGACUGAAUCCAAGAAUCCGGGGUAAAGGCGCCCUGCACCCUGCCUAGGCCCUUGCCCUGCCCUCUAUCCACUCACACUCCUCGCCAUUCCCACCACAGCCACAUCUCAGCACACCGGGAAUACCGGGUUCCUCAACCCUUGGGCAGUGAGACACGACGCAGACUCUUGCCUUCUGGGUAAGCCCUGUUUCUUGAACUCUUCCCCGAAGGACAGAAGUGGAGGCUGCAGGACCAGAGUGCUGUUGGAGGAUGGAGAGACGCUUCCACAACUCCUUGAGCAGAACAAGCUGAACCUGGUCCUCCUCUCUUAAUGUAUCUGCCGGAAGCUCCUGGGAUCAGCACCUGCCCCGCCUCCCUGCUUCUGUUGCUGGCUGCUCAGAUUUUCUGUCUUGCUGAUUUUUCCACUUCAAGCCUGGCAGCUGCCCUGCAGGAUUCAAGGGGAACUCUCAGCUCCUGGCUGUCGGCACUUCGCUUGCCUUCUAAGCUGGCCUUAGCUCCCUUGGCUUCCUCUUGUGUUUGCAUACAGUGCACUCCCACAGUUUGCCUUUCCUUGCACUCUCCCAGCAGUCUUGUGAGUUCGGGUUUCGCACCCUGGAUCAGUGGUGGCAAACCUAUGGCAUGAGUGUUUCAGCAGGCACGCAGAGCCGUCUCUGUUGGCAUGCAAGCCAAGCCAUCGCAGCAGCUGAGCAUCGGAUGACAGUUUUUUCUAAAUUACAACUUCAGUACUCAGGUUUAAUUGCAAUGUUGGCACUUUGUGAUAAAUAAGUGGGUUUGGGGUUGCGGUUUGGGUGCUCUGUCUCUAAACGUUUCCGCCGUCACUGGCCUAGAUUGUGUAUCUGUGACAGAGGAGCAGCUGCAUUUGAACUCAGGCCCCUUCACUCCAGAGGCUGUCUCUUCCUGGUACUCACCGUGGAAGGGAGUUGAAGAAAGGACCCACUCGCACCUCUCGCUUGUGAACAUUGGUGAACAAACACCAACAUUUGUUAUUCUCAGGUAUUAGAUGUUUCUGCAUUUCUACAAGAAUUUUCAUUUUACAAGACAAUUUCUCAUUUGGUAGUUAUUUCAUCUGGUCUUAACAACAUAGAAAUGGGAAAAAAUAAAGAGAUCCGUUCCCCUUCCCUCUACAGCACCCAGUUCACCAUUGUCCUGGAUUCCUCUUUCCAUAGGACACCCCAUUCUCUAGGCCAAAGUGACUUGUUUAGGGUUAUAGACAUGUGGUUCAAGCCAGACCAAUCGGAGUCUUCCACAGGGCUUUCUGCUGGAGUUUUUGGAAAGAUUUAUCACCAUCGGAAAUAAGCUCUGAAUCUAGGGUUUCUGUGAGAUGAGGUUCCUACCAUUUUCUUCCUUUCUCACUGAAAAAUCCGGAGAACUGGAGAGCAGACUCAACUAUUCCUAUUAAACUCCACAAUCUGUCUUACCUAAUUUUGUGUUUUUCUUGUCUUUGAAUGAUAGGAGAUAAACUACCUUUUCCUUUAACUUACAUUGGAUUUUUCUCAUUUGCACCCAAAGUACUUUAAUUUCUAACAGAUAAAUCUUGAGGUUUAUACAUCUAUAAAGUUUUCAUAGUUUUAAAGUAGAAUAGAUGAUACUGAAAAACUAAUUCUUCUAUCAAAAUCCAUACACCUGGAAACCAAUGGGGUCCGAAGGCUGCAGGCUUUGCCUGCCGCAUUAUCUGCCCCCUUUUCAAUUCAGGCCGGCGACCUUGAAACCGAGCAUUCUCAUCCUGCAACCUGGCCCCGACUCAGCAUUGAUUGCUCCUCUUGU